rnacentral:rRNA from 1 species
UUAUGAUUUAAAUUUAAUCUAGAAUAAAAGUAGGUAUGGUCUUCAUAACUCAAAGAAUUUGGCGGUUAAUUUUAUUUUUCAGGGGAAUCUGUUUCAUAAUUGAUAAACCACGAUAGUUUACACCUUAAUUUUAUUUGUAUACCUCUAUGAUAUUAGAAUAUUUUAUUAGAAUACUUUCAUUUUGUUUAUGCUUUAAUUUUAGGUCAAGGUGCAGUUUUAUAAAGGUAGAUAUGGAUUACUUUAAUUUUAAUUUAUAUUAAGUUAAUUUUAUAAUAAUAGGAUUUGAUAGUAAUUUAAUUUAAUUUAAUUGGAUGAAUUUAAAAUUUAAUGU